rnacentral:rRNA from 1 species
AGUGAACGCUGGCGGUAGGCCUAACACAUGCAAGUCGAACGGCAGCACAGUAAGAGCUUGCUCUUACGGGUGGCGAGUGGCGGACGGGUGAGGAAUACAUCGGAAUCUACUUUUUCGUGGGGGAUAACGUAGGGAAACUUACGCUAAUACCGCAUACGACCUACGGGUGAAAGCAGGGGAUCUUCGGACCUUGCGCGAUUGAAUGAGCCGAUGUCGGAUUAGCUAGUUGGCGGGGUAAGGGCCCACCAAGGCGACGAUCCGUAGCUGGUCUGAGAGGAUGAUCAGCCACACUGGAACUGAGACACGGUCCAGACUCCUACGGGAGGCAGCAGUGGGGAAUAUUGGACAAUGGGCGCAAGCCUGAUCCAGCCAUACCGCGUGGGUGAAGAAGGCCUUCGGGUUGUAAAGCCCUUUUGUUGGGAAAGAAAAGCAGCAGGUUAAUACCCCGCUGUUCUGACGGUACCCAAAGAAUAAGCACCGGCUAACGUCGUG